AUACUUACCUGACAGCGGAAACACCACGAUCACCCAGGUGGUUUUCCCAGGGCGAGGCUCCUCCAUUGCACUUGGGAGGUGCUGACCCCUGCGAUUUCCCUAAAUGUGGGAAACUCGGCUGCAUAAUUUGUGGCAGUGGGGACUGCGUUCGUGCUCUCCCCAG
ensembl:snRNA U1 U1 spliceosomal RNA